GCUGCCCCUGCCGCCGCCGUCUCUCCGGAUCGCUGCCCCCUUCGCCGCCGUCUCUCCGGAUCACCGCCCCCGCCGCCGCUGCCGUAUCUCCGGAUCGCAGCCACCGCCACCGUCUGGGUCGCCGCAGCCGUCACACAGAAGACAGUGCAGGAGCUGCCGCCACCUACGCUAAAACCACCUGAGCCCCGCAACAAGAGUGCACAGUUACAUAUGACGAAUCCACAAAGCAAGGCAACGGAACAGACAACAGCGGAGGAUGUACCUUCAGGAGUCCAUACUACUUUGUCGGAACGGAGAUCCUUGAACAGACCGAAUGUGAUAGCACAUAUGAUGCUCCAGGCCCGAUGGAGGGGACAAAUGUUGCCGAGAUGUUGACAAUAUAUACCCAAGUGGUCCAGACAACCGUACAAGUUCAUUCCUAUAUAAUGAAGCUUCGUUGCCAGCCCCGAGUAAUCUGACACAACAUUAUGGGACAGAUGUAGCACAAAGUGCAAAUGUUGUUGUACAUGCUCCUGGUCGUGAUGCCUUAGAGGUUUUACCUCUGUCGGAUGCAACAUCCGAACACAUAAUGACAGGAUCUGUCAUGAAAAAAACAUAACAGACGAAAAGAGGGAGCAGAAAAACGCCUGGAGGCUGAAAAUCAUCCUGCCCUUACAAUGACUGAACUAUCUAGCAUCCAACUUAAUAACGAGGAAAAGAGGGAGCAGAUAAAAGCUCAAAGGCGGGCCGCUUAUCGGAAGAAAGAUGAUGAGAGUUCCAUAAAGCUAAAUGCAGAUGUGCAGAAUGUUGCACGGCAUCCUCUCGGUGAUAUCACUAAUGCGUAUCAACCAUCCUCUAUGGACCUUGACGAAAGAAAGGAGUUGAUAAAGGCGCGGAAGCGAGCUUCUUAACGAAAGAGAAAAGAGGAGGCUAGCGUCAAACAACAGAAUGAGAAUCUGUCUGCACUUACGAUAUCAGAAGCGGAUGUGCAAAAUGUUCCCAUAUCCCCUCCCGGUGAUAUCACUAAUGGGCAUCAACCAACCUCGUUGUACCUCGACGA